GCACAGCCAGCUGGAGAGAGGUUGCCAAGGCAACCCACCGAAGGGGCAAGCAGUCCAUGACUGCGUAAACUCUCAGGUAAAAGGACAGGGGGAGAGGC
rnacentral:ncRNA from 2 species